rnacentral:rRNA from 1 species
AAUCCCUAAUAUUAACAAAGAAUAAAACAAAGGUUUGUAUUUGCUCUAAGAUUUUUUUAUCUCGUGUUGUAGUAGUUAAGGUAAACUAGAACUAGCUUUAUUCUAUACACGUAGUCGAAACUGAAAGGUUGAUCGACCACAAUGUGGCCUGAACAAAGCCCAUGACAAAUGUAGCAGCAGUGAGGAAUAUUGGUCAAUAGCCUAACGGCUGAACCAGCAACUUGGAGGAAUGUAGAGCAAUAGCUGAUUGCAUUAAUUUAUAAUGCAGUUACUACUUGGUAGUUUAAAUUUCUGGGUAGAGUUAUGAUGAUGACAUUCUCUAUAGAGGUCUUGACCAAAUUACGUGCCAGCAGUCGCGGUAAUACGUAGAAGACAAGUGUUAUUCAUCUUUAUUGGGUUUAAAGCGUACCAAGACGGUUAAUAAUGCCUAAAAUAAAUUAAAAAAGGGGACACAUUAACUAGAGUUAUAUGAAAAGAAGCACGAAGGUACUGUUGAGUGUAGAGAUGAAAUUCUUUGAUACCAGAUGAUUGGCACAGAUUUAUGCGAAGGCAUCUUCUUAUGUAAUAACUGACGUUGUAGGACGAAGGCUUUUGAAGUGAMCAGGAUUAGCUNCCCUAUUAAUCUAAGCAGAAAAUGAUGAAUGUCAUAGGUUGAAKACAGAUCUUACUUCUUAAGUUUCAUUAGAGAAUGUUAUAUCAGUUUUAACUGGUAGCAGAUUUUCAUUCUCGAGUAAGAUGAAAGUUAGAUGAAGUAAUAUUGUCCUGUAUAUUGUUCAGUCUAUAAAUGAAAGUGUAAGCAUUCCACCUCAAGAGUAAUUUGGCAACAUUGGAACUGAAAUCAUUAGACCGUUUCUGAAACCAGUAGUGAAGUAUGUUGUUUAAUUAGAUGAUCCACAAAAAACCUUACCACAAUUUGAAUAUAUAUAUUUAAAGAUAUUUACAAGCGCUGCACGGCUGUCUACAGUUAAUGUCGUGAGAUUUUGGUUAGUUCCAUAAAAUUAACGUAAACCCUUACUUUAUUUAUAAAUAAAGUACGAUUC